CUCGAUUUGGAAGGACCCAAACCGCCGCCGCCAUGGAGACCAUUGCCCGCGUGUCGUGAGAGGCUGUCCCGUGGAAGCGCCGUCGUCGACUACGUCGCCUUGGAGGAGUCGUUCGAGCUGGAUAUCCCCGCGGUGCCCGAUCCAUCCUCGUCUUCCCCGUCCCCCGCCGUCGCGUCUCCGUCUCCUCCCCGACCGGCCUCGUUGAGCCUCGCCGCCCCUGUUCCCCUGCUCGUGGACCCCGAGACUGCCGCCGUGUUCAACUACGUCGACAACAACCCCUCCUUGUCGGAGCAACCAGGAUGCUAG
rnacentral:rRNA from 1 species